rnacentral:lncRNA from 1 species
CAGGCAAAUAAAGCAAGACAGGAGUUGGCAUUGUCAAUCAAAGUCACACAGCUCCUGUGGUAGCUGAGCCAGAAUUUGAAAUCAGUUCUACCAGACCCCCAAAACGCUCUCCUGCCUGCCAGCCCGACCAGGGUGUGUUGAAGGUCAGCGACUGCAGUGACCAGUGACUUCAUCCUUGUAGAGGCAGAUGGCGAGCGAAGAAUUGUCAUCCACAGUACUCAGAACGCAGCCACGAUGGAGCCUUGACUUAGGGAUGUUAUUCGUCUUUGUCUGAAACUUUCCACUGACUCAAACCCCUGGAGGUGUGGAAGAAAAGAAUCCUGGUUUGCAAGCCUAAGACUCCCCUUGUGAUGAGGUGAUUUCCUACCACAACACUGUUGUACAAAAAGUGCUAAUGUAUGUGCAAGUGAGCUACGUAAAAGCUGUGGCCCCCGCUUCUAAGCCUUUUUAACUCAUCGUUCGGCGCUUUUGACCUGAUCCGCUGCUGGUUUUGACACCAAAGAACCGAAAACGUCACAAAUUUAAAAGAACAUAAUAGAGGCUGUGUCACACUGAAGUAUGUCAAUGGUAGAUCAACGCAUCAGCCUUAAUUCCAGCAAGUUGCAAGUCUGCAGAGGAGAAAUUCCUAACAUCUGACAGGUAGAGGUGGCAUUUCUCUGUCCUGCUUGGCAAAGACCCAAUAUACCUUUGUCCAAAAGCCAAGUGGACGAUUCCAAAAAGUUCCCUCUCUGACAGAGGCUCCAGACUGAAUCCAAGUAAGGCAGUCAUUUGACUAGUAAACCCCAGCCAAGGAGGGAGAUGGCUGCCAAAAACAGCUGCCAGAUCUCCAAGUUGAUUUUCACCAUCACCCCACAUCUAAGACACAAAUGGAAAAAUAUUCAGGUGCUGGUCAAUGUAAGAGAAAAUUCAAGCCAGAAAUAAAAUGCUGAAAUCUAAGUGUGCAACAGACCCAAACAACCCACAGGAACAGAGAAGCAGCUAACCAGAAAGCUCAAGAGCUAAUAAGCAACUGCUUAAAAAGACUUUAUACACAGUGGACUGCUAAGAGCAAAAUCAGUGUUUUCUGAAAUUUCUUGUAACAAAGUUAAAGCCUUUCUUCUUCUUCUUCUUUUUUUUUUUUUUUGGUCUUUCUAGGGCUGCACCCAUGGCAUAUGGAGGUCCCCCAGGCUAGGGGUCGAACUGGAGCUGCAGCUGCCGGCUUACACCACAGCAAUGCCAGAUUCGAGCUGAGUCUGUGACCUACACCGCAGCUCAAGGCAACGCCAGAUCCUUAACCAACUAAGCGAGGCCAGGGAAUCGAACCCUUGUCCUCAUGGAUACUAGUUGGGUUCGUUACUGCUGAAUCCCAAGGCAACUCCCUGAGGCCUAUUUUUUUUAAGCCCACAAUAAUGAAAUAAUGUAGCUAACACCAGCAGCACUCAAACCUACAGCAAGGGUAAAGACCCUAGCCUGCCCAAUUCUGGAAGUAAAAUGACAAAAGAAAGCCCCAAAGUUCAACAAAAAUAUAAACCCUCCAAACUUAAGCGUUCCUGCUGCGGUACAGCAGGUUAAGGAUUCAUGUUGUCUCUGCAGUGGCACAGGUUUGAUCCCUGGCCUGGCACAGGGGGUUAAGGAUCCAGUGUUGCCACUGCUGUGGCAGAGGUAACAGCAGCACCUUGGGUUCAAUCCCUGGCCCAGGAACUUCCAUGUAACAUGGGUGCAGCCCAAAGAAAAACAAAACAAAACUUAAACACUGCCACUCAUUUUUUUUCCAAGUAGAAUGUGCCCAGCGAAACAAGGACAACUAGCUUGAGAAAUAUAUAUGGCAUACUCAGUAGUAGGGUCACAAUUGAUAGCUCUUUCCACAAAAGUAAAUUAUUUAUGUCUUAAUUAGAGACAAUGUUUAUCGUUUCUCUUUAAAAAACCUACCUUAUAAUUAAUACAUAUUACUAAAACGUUGUAGCACAUGAAAUAUACUAACACCGAAGUUAUUUCAGUCAACAGUUUUGAGUUUGUCUUUAAUCCCUUGUAUUGCUUCUUGCUUAACAAUAUUCGGAGUCUUCCAGCUGAAACUAAAGUACGUUCUUGGAAUCCUUUACAGAAUUAUAUCUUCUUUGGGGAAAACAUACUCUUUCCAACAAGAAAUACCAAGAAAUCCAA